ACCUGCGGAGGAUCAUUAUCGAGAUCAGGGUCCCUGGGGGCCCGACCCUCCCACCCGUUGUGAACGUACCUUUGUUGCUUUGGCGGGCCGAGGCGCUUYGGCGCCCCGUCGACCUCGGUGGACGCGUGCCCGUCCGAGGACCCCCCCCAACCCAGCCGUGUCGUGGAGUCCGAGCGAUUGCGAAAUGGCUAAAACUUUCAACAACGGAUCUCUUGGUUCCGGCAUCGAUGAAGAACGCAGCGAAAUGCGAUAAGUAAUGUGAAUUGCAGAAUUCAGUGAAUCAUCGAGUCUUUGAACGCACAUUGCGCCCUCUGGUAUUCCGGGGGGCAUGCCUGUUCGAGCGUCAUUGCACCUCUCAAGCCCGGCUUGGUCGUGGGGGCCGCCCCCGGGGGCGACCUCGAAAUGCAGCGGCGACGCGGUCGGGUCCUCCAGCGCAGUAGAACUUUUCGUUUCGCUUGCGAGUGGCCCGGGCGCGUCCGCCGGACAACCUUCCGUCUUCCACGGUUGACCUCGGAUCAGGUAGGGAUACCCGCUGAACUUAAGCAUAUCAAUAAGCGGAGGAAAAGAAACCAACAGGGAUUGCCUCAGUAACGGCGAGUGAAGCGGCAACGGCUCAAAUUU
rnacentral:rRNA from 1 species